rnacentral:rRNA from 1 species
GGUUGUCGUCAGCUCGUGUCGUGAGAUGUUGGUUAAGUCCCGCAACGAGCGCAACCCCUACGUUUAGUUGCUAACGCGUGAAGGCGAGCACUCUAGACGAACUGCCGUUGACAAAACGGAGGAAGGUGGGGAUGACGUCAAAUCAUCAUGCCCCUUAUGUUCUGGGCUACACACGUGCUACAAUGGCCGGUACAGACGGACGCAAAGCCGCGAGGUGGAGCAAAUCCUAAAAAGCCGGUCUCAGUUCGGAUUGCAGGCUGCAAUUCGCCUGCAUGAAGUCGGAAUCGCUAGUAAUCGCAGGUCAGCAUACUGCGGUGAAUACGUUCCCGGGCCUU